rnacentral:rRNA from 1 species
GACGAACCGUGCGAACGUUGUUCGGAAUCACUGGGCUUAAAGGGCGCGUAGGCGGCCCCCAAGUCAAGGGUGAAAUCUUUCCGGCUUAACCGGAAAGUGCCUUGAUACUGGGGGCUCGAGGGAGGUAGGGGCGGACGGAACUUCCGGUGGAGCGGUGAAAUGCGUUGAUAUCGGAAGGAACGGCCGGUGGCGAAAGCGGUCCGCUGGCCCUCUAC